CGUAACGCGUAUGCAAUCUACCUUUUACAGAGGGAUAGCCCAGAGAAAUUUGGAUUAAUACCUCAUAGCAUUAUGAAGUGGCAUCACUUUAUAAUUAAAGUCACAACGGUAAAAGAUGAGCAUGCGUCCCAUUAGCUAGUUGGUAAGGUAACGGCUUACCAAGGCAACGAUGGGUAGGGGUCCUGAGAGGGAGAUCCCCCACACUGGUACUGAGACACGGACCAGACUCCUACGGGAGGCAGCAGUGAGGAAUAUUGGUCAAUGGGCGCAAGCCUGAACCAGCCAUGCCGCGUGCAGGAUGAAGCAUCUAUGGUGUGUAAACUGCUUUUGUACGAGAAGAAACACUCCUACGUGUAGGAGCUUGACGGUAUCGUAAGAAUAAGGACCGGCUAAUUCCGUGCCAGCAGCCGCGGUAAUACGGAGGGUCCAAGCGUUAUCCGGAAUCAUUGGGUUUAAAGGGUCCGUAGGCGGUUUAGUAAGUCAGUGGUGAAAGCCCAUCGCUCAACGGUGGAACGGCCAUUGAUACUGCUAAACUUGAAUUAUUGGGAAGUAACUAGAAUAUGUAGUGUAGCGGUGAAAUGCUUAGAGAUUACAUGGAAUACCAAUUGCGAAGGCAGGUUACUACCAAUAUAUUGACGCUGAUGGACGAAAGCGUGGGGAGCGAACAGGAUUAGAUACCCUGGUAGUCCACGCC
rnacentral:rRNA from 1 species